rnacentral:rRNA from 1 species
GACGAACCGAGCGAACGUUGUUCGGAAUCACUGGGCUUAAAGGGCGCGUAGGCGGGCUGCCGCGUCCGGGGUGAAAUCCGCCGGCUCAACCGGCGAACGGCCUCGGAUACGGGCGGCCUCGAGGCGGGUAGGGGCGUGCGGAACUGUGGGUGGAGCGGUGAAAUGCGUUGAGAUCCACAGGAACUCCGGUGGCGAAGGCGGCACGCUGGACCCGAUCUGACGCUGAGGCGCGAAAGCCAGGGGAGCGAACGGG